GAUCUGGCUCAGGAUGAACGCUAGCUACAGGCUUAACACAUGCAAGUCGAGGGGAAACGACAUCGAAAGCUUGCUUUUGAUGGGCGUCGACCGGCGCACGGGUGAGUAACGCGUAUCCAACCUGCCCACCACUUGGGGAUAACCUUGCGAAAGUAAGACUAAUACCCAAUGAUAUCUCUAGAAGACAUCUGAAAGAGAUUAAAGAUUUAUCGGUGAUGGAUGGGGAUGCGUCUGAUUAG
rnacentral:rRNA from 1 species